CUCUGCUACCUGUUGGCUUGCCAAGUGACCUUGGGAUUACAUUCAGGGCUCCCAGGACAUGGCCCUUCCAGCAUGGCCUUCGUCACUGUUGUGACAAGCACAUCUAUUAUGUAGCCCUGAGGUGAGAAAGUGCUUGGCACCAGGAAGGAAGGAUCCCAGGACCCCAAACCUGGCAUAAGGUGUUGGGGAGCCCACACCCAGAAGCAACAUGGUCUGCAAAGGCCCCUGAGCCCAAGGAAACAGCUGAGCAGAGCCCUGACCCCGACCAUCUUGAAAAUUCCACUCCCAAAUAAUCACUCUCGUUGAGUGAGAUCGCAUGGUGCUACAGAGGGGGAAGGCUCUGCCAUCGGACUGUCACUCCCGUUUAGGCUUGUCAACCUUGUGCUGGUGACUGGAAUGUGAGAUAUAGUGGUGAUGAACCUGGGAUGUGGUUCGGUGGGUAGAGUGCUGGCCUAGCAUGUCGAAGCCCCGGGUUCAAUUCUCUGUGUCACGUAGCCUGGAUGUAGUGGUACAUAUCUACAAUCCCAGCACUCGGGAAGUAGAUGCGGGAGAUGUAGGAGGAUGUAGGAAGGUGUUCAAAGCCAUCCUUAAGCACACAACGAGUUUAGGCCAGCCCGAGAUACAAAAGACACGUAUGCAGUUAUAUGUAUGCAACAUGUAUGUGCACUGACAAGUGACAAGACUCCCUGCUUCAACAAGCUAGUGUGUUAGCCAGAGCCCAUGCACACCACCAUUAUUGGUACAUGAGCCCCAAGCCUGAUGAUGGGUGCACUUUGUAUAUGUGAUGAACCCUUGCAACCACCUAACAGGGUAGGAGUUUGAAGAUUGUUAGAGGCUCAGCAGAUUCAAGGCUUGCUGAAGAUUUUCAUAGCUCAUGAUCAGGUUGGUUAGGGAAAAAGGAAAUGAUUGUUUUCGAUCAAAUGCUAACAAAUAAGGCCAGGGAUUUGGGGACCCUGUCCAUGGCUCAGUGAGAGAGAUACUACUGUGUUCGGAGAUUAACUGAUUGAGAUUGUCCCGU
rnacentral:lncRNA from 1 species